rnacentral:tRNA from 1 species
GGGCGAAUAGCUCAGUUGGUUAGAGCAUCUGCCUUACAAGCAGGGGGUCGCAGGUUCGAAUCCCGCUUCGCCCACCA